CUGUAGACAGUCAGCACAGAAAACGACGGUGGCAGACGCCUCACUUGUCUGCGUGAUGCACCUCAUCUCUUGGGUGUCCUUCCCCUUCUCCGCACAUGUACAGUCCAGAGCUGGAGUGGCUGCUGGGGAUUGCCACGCCGGUGCAGCAGAGGAGAGAGUUGAAGGCAUCUGCGGCGACCGGAUGCAGUGUCCCUGCAUCGGGUAGCCUCCACCGUGCAGCCAAGCUUGACAGCACGGUUGUCGACGGCCAUGCCAUGCCACCGCGACCUCCCACAGCCCCGUCAGCCCAGCGCUCCACAUGCACGCCGGAAUUCUACAACAACGUGCAGGUGAUUGGUGGACUGCCACAACGCGGUCCCCGUGCGCCCACCGAUACCUUCAGCGCAAUGCCGUGCCGCUUUCUUUAAUGCACGGCCGACUCUCACUAUCCCUUCCGCUUUUUGUGUUGUUUUGGGGGUUUCGGCGUGCCCAUUUCUUUGCCAUACAACAUGAGGCCAAAG
rnacentral:misc_RNA from 1 species